CGCCCCACUGGCCCUAGAGCCUGAAAGGGCUGGGGAGAGCGUUUAGGCGCAAGCGCGGUCUCGUGUCCUCGCCGCCUCGGGCACUUACUGCACAGGUUCGCGUGCAAACUAUGGAAGUGAUGAACCAUGGAUGUGUAAACCAUUCCCCACGUCUCCGAAUUCCUCGAAGUGGAAUUGGGAUCAAACUUGGGACCUUAUGCUUGUGAGGCAGGAGGUGGCACCACUGAGCUAAAUCCCUGGCCCUCAUUUGAUUUUAACUCUUUAUUUUGAAGAAUCCAGAUAUGCAGACAAAUUGGAAGAACGAUGUAAUAAAUGCUGUACUCAUCCA